UACGUAGGGGGCAAGCGUUGUCCGGAUUUAUUGGGCGUAAAGAGCGUGUAGGCGGCUUGGAAGGUCAGCUGUGAAAACUCGAGGCUCAACCUCGAGACGUCGGUUGAAACCACCUGGCUAGAGUCCGGAAGAGGAGAGUGGAAUUCCCGGUGUAGCGGUGAAAUGCGCAGAUAUCGGGAAGAACACCCGUGGCGAAGGCGGCUCUCUGGGACGGUACUGACGCUGAGACGCGAAAAGCGUGGGGAGCAAACAGGG
rnacentral:rRNA from 1 species